rnacentral:rRNA from 1 species
ACGGGUGAGUAAUACAUCGGAACGUAUCCUGGAGUGGGGGAUAGCCCGGCGAAAGCCGGAUUAAUACCGCAUACGCUCUGAGGAGGAAAGCGGGGGACCUUCGGGCCUCGCGCUCAAGGGGCGGCCGAUGGCGGAUUAGGUAGUUGGUGGGGUAAAGGCCUACCAAGCCGACGAUCCGUAGCUGGUCUGAGAGGACGACCAGCCACACUGGGACUGAGACACGGCCCAGACUCCUACGGGAGGCAGCAGUGGGGAAUUUUGGACAAUGGGGGCAACCCCGAUCCAGCAAUGCCGCGUGUGUGAAGAAGGCCUUCGGGUUGUAAAGCACUUUUGUCCGGAAAGAAAUCAUCGGGGCCAAUACCCCUGGUGGAUGACGGUACCGGAAGAAUAAGCACCGGCUAACUACGUGCCAGCAGCCGCGGUAAUACGUAGGGUGCGAGCGUUAAUCGGAAUUACUGGGCGUAAAGCGUGCGCAGGCGGUGCUGUAAGACCGAUGUGAAAUCCCCGGGCUUAACCUGGGAACUGCAUUGGUGACUGCAGCGCUGGAGUAUGGCAGAGGGGGGUGGAAUUCCACGC